UGAGACUUGUUAUUCUACGCUCUUUUAAUUGUUAUCUUCAUUUUGAUGACCAUGUUAGUUUUCUUUCAUACUGAAGAAAAUUAUAAUGCCAAUAUAUCCAGAUAAAUAAAAGGCAUGUUGCUGAUUUUCAGUGUUCCUGUAUCUUUACUAUUGUAGUAUGGGAGUUAUCUAUCUAAGACUGUGAUUAUGUCUUCGCAGUAUAUUGUAUUACUCAAUGCCCAGAUAAGUAUUUGCUGAUGGUUAAAUUAAUAAUACUGAUUUAUUGCAGAUGGUAAGAAUGUUGGAUAUACUAGCAGAAUAUAUGUCACAUAGAGGGUUUCAAUUUCAAAGGCUAGAUGGCAGCACUAAGGCUGAACUGCGUCAGCAAGCAAUGGGUCAUUUUAAUGCACCUGGUAGUGAUGAUUUCUGCUUCCUUCUUUCAACUCGGGCAGGUGGCCUAGGUAUCAACCUUGCAACAGCAGAUACAGUUAUCAUAUUUGAUUCUGACUGGAACCCUCAAAAUGACCUACAGGCAAUGAGUAGAGCUCAUAGAAUCGGCCAACAAGAAGUUGUGAACAUCUACAGAUUUGUCACAAGCAAAAGUGUUGAGGAAGAUAUCUUGGAGCGAGCUAAGAAAAGAUGGUUCUUGACCACCUGGUGAUCCAGAAAUUGAAUGCAGAAGGCAGAUUGGAGAAGAAAGAAGCAAAGAAGGGGAGUUAUUUUGACAAGGUGUGUUCUAUAGAGCAGUCAGCUGAGAGUUGAAAGAUCGCUGCGAGAAAUUAUUUAAAGGCUGUAAGAAGUUUAUGUAAGUGUUUCAACAUUACUCGCACACAAAUUCCAAUGAGAAAAGUUGAUUUAUUUAUUUUUUUAUUUUUUUGGAAUUCUUUAGAAUGUUGAAAAUGGUCUUGUUUUGGUGAAACAGAAAGUAGUGAGAGUGAAGUUUAGAUUCUUUCCAGGAGUGCAAAUAGGAAUUGUGGAGAAAAUGUACAGGCUUAAGUUUCAAUAAAAUUUAAUGAGAAUUGAUUUCAACAACUCAUAUCGACUCCUAAAAAAGGUAGUUAAAACCGACUAGACUUCUAACAAUAUGGUCUUUUACUAACUAACAUUACUCUUGAUCUGACAACAGAAUAGCAAAAGUACCCCAGGUAGUUAAAACAAACUAGAAUUCUAACAAUGUGUUCUUUUACUAACAUUACUCUUGAUCUUACUUAAACACAUUAAACUUUUGAUGAUUAAAGUCUUAAGAAUUUCUUUUCUUUAUGAUUUAUUUAGAUCAGAGGAACAAUGUAUACUAAUUUUUUUUUAUUCAGCAGUACCUCAACAAGCCCUGUGAUGGAAAAACUCAAUGUUGGAAACAAUGCCUUGGCCUGAUGAUUACUUUCCUUUUUUUACCACGGUUCUUUAGUUUGUUUCUAGAUUACUUUGUGCCUGAUGAUGAAAACUUUUAUUUUUGUAUUGAUAUGUGCAUUGAUUUCAUUUUGAGCCUCCAUCUUUUCUGCUCUCACCAUCUUUGGUACUCACCAUGAUCCAUUAUUUUAUUUUAUUUAUUUAUUUAUUACUAUUUUCUCAUGUUGGCUGUGGUGAUGAUGAUCUGUGUUUGCUGUUGGUGGUGGUGAAUGCCAAAGGUGAUGGUUGAAGUGGUGGUGUUUAAACCUUGAAGAUGUGAUUGGUUCUUAAUGAAUUUUCAAUGUUCAUGAAAUUUCUAGCAUUAAUCUCUAAAGGCAUUUAUAUAUUAAAAUGGUCUCUUUUUAUAGCUACAAAAUAUAUAUUUUAUUGCCUUAUGUAAUAAUAUGAAGAUAUUGUCAUUUUUUUUUGUUAGUUCACUUUCUUUGCAUGCUUAUUUGCCCUGUGAUGGGAAAUCUAAUUUUCAGAAGCAGUUUCAUGGUUUUGCAUUAUAAGCCUUGUCUCUCUCUCUCUCUCUAUACAUACAUACAUACAUACAUACAUACAUACAUACAUACAUAUAUAUUGCUCUCUCUCUCUCUACUUUUUCACCAGAAAAAGUCUAUUUUACAGAAUCUAUUGUGAGUGCUCUUAAGGCUUAUAAUGAAAAUUCUCAUGUACACUGUUAAUGACCAUAUUGGCUUAUGAGAUCUAAGGGCUUUUGAAUAUCUAAGUUUGUUAUUCUCUGUUUUAUAAUGCUUUAUUUGCUUUAUCACCUGUUAAUAGAUUAGAGGAAGAAUUAAUUAAAGAUUACCUUUAUUAUUAAUCUGUUUUAUAAUGCAUGUUUUUGAACACUACUUGACAAUGCCUUUGAUGCUUUUGUAUCAAGUAACUUGAACCUGUUUGCAGUGCAUUCUUGUUUACAUUGGAUUUGAUUUUGUCUAUAUCUAUUUUGGCCCAUCUUUGCUUCUUAGAUUAUGAACUUUUUUUUUUUGGCCUGAUGAUGAUAUUUGUCCUCUGUUUUUGCUAGUCUACUUAGUUUUGUUUCCUCAACUGAAAUAUAUGAGUACUGCCCUGUUUUUGUUUCUCAGUCAAGUGAAAAGCUUUGGAGCUUAUUUGUUUAAUGGUCAUUAACUACAUGAGGUGUUCCUCUUAUUUAGUAUUUUAAUUUAUAUUAGACUGAGCAUAAACUUCUUAGUUGCAUGAGUGAUCUUUUUGAAAGUUUUUUUAAGUUAUGAUAGGUUUCUUACAUUUUGUGGUGUAUCUCUCUGUUUAGAGAUAGAG